rnacentral:rRNA from 1 species
UACGGAGGGGACUAGCGUUGUUCGGAAUUACUGGGCGUAAAGCGCACGUAGGCGGAUUUGUAAGUCAGGGGUGAAAUCCCGGGGCUCAACCUCGGAACUGCCUUUGAUACUGCAAAUCUCGAGUCCGGAAGAGGUGAGUGGAAUUCCUAGUGUAGAGGUGAAAAUUCGUAGAUAUUCGCAAGAACACCAGUGGCGAAGGCGGCUCACUGGCCCGGUACUGACGCUGAGGUGCGAAAGCGUGGGGAGCAAACAGGG